UUUUGGUCUGCAUGUUGGUGGAUCUAGCACUGCAGGCAAGAGAGCUAUGGCUCACUCCCACCUUCUCUGUGAACUUCAAAGGGAGCAGAAGAGGAGGGAUACGUCAUUUGCAAGAUACCAGUUUUUAUGAAGCACUACAUGAGUUGCUGAUGGAUAAAUCACCCAAGCAUGGUUAAAGAGACCCUAAUCUCCAGAUGGUACCAGAUCCAUUUAAUUGUAUCCUCUGACCUCAUCUCACCUGAGCCUGCAUUAAAAUCAUAAUACAGUUCAAGUGUAAAAAUGA